AGUGAACGCUGGCGGUAGGCCUAACACAUGCAAGUCGAACGGCAGCACAGUAAGAGCUUGCUCUUACGGGUGGCGAGUGGCGGACGGGUGAGGAAUACAUCGGAAUCUACUUUUUCGUGGGGGUUAACGUAGGGAAACUUACGCUAAUACCGCAUACGACCUACGGGGGAAAGCAGGGGAUCUUCGGACCUUGCGCGAUUGAAUGAGCCGAUGUCGGGUUAGCUAGUUGGCGGGGUAAAGGCCCACCAAGGCGACGAUCCGUAGCUGGUCUGAGAGGAUGGUCAGCCGCACUGGAACGGGGACACGGUCCAGACUCCUACGGGAGGCAGCAGUGGGGAAUGUUGGACAAUGGGCGCAAGCCUGGUCCAGCCAUACCGCGUGGGUGAAGAAGGCCUUCGGGUUGUAAAGCCCUUUUGUUGGGAAAGAAAAGCAGCAGGUUAAUACCCCGCUGUUCUGACGGUACCCAAAGAAUAAGCACCGGCUAACUUCGUG
rnacentral:rRNA from 1 species